rnacentral:rRNA from 1 species
UGAAUACGAGAUGCUACGGCGUCGAAGCAGUGUAUGUCAGACUUCCAAGAAUAGCUCGCAAUGUCAUAAAUAAAGAAUGCCUGUACCAUAACCGACACAGUGGGUAGGUAGAGUAUACUAAGGGGCGCGAGAUAACUCUCUCUAAGGAACUCGGCAAAAUAACUCCGUAACUUCGGGAGAAGGAGUGCCUUCUAUUAGAAGGUUGCAAUAACAAGAUCCAAGCAACUGUUUAUCAAAAACACAGGUCUCCGCUAAGUCGUAAGACGAUGUAUGGGGGCUGACGCCUGCCCAGUGCAGAAGGUUAAAGAAGUUGGUUAGCUUUGGCGAAGCUGAUGACUGAAGCCCUGGUGAACGGCGGCCGUAACAAUAACGGUCCUAAGGUAGCGAAAUUCCUUGUCGGGUAAGUUCCGACCCGCACGAAAGGCGUAAUGAUUUGGAUACUGUCUCGGAGAGGGACUCGGUGAAAUAGACUUGUCUGUGAAGAUGCGGACUACCUGCACCAGGACAGAAAGACCCUAUGAAGCUUUACUGUAACUUGAAAUUGAAAUUGGACUUUAUUUGCGCAGCAUAGGUGGAAGGCGUUGAGAUUACUCUUGCGGGAGUACUGGAGCCAUCAGUGAGAUACCACUCCUAUAAUGUUAGAUUUCUAACUUUGGAUCAUGAUCUGGUCAAAGAACAGUUUCAGGCGGGCAGUUUGACUGGGGCGGUCGCCUCCCAAAUGGUAACGGAGGCGUACAAAGGUUUCCUCUGAACGGGUAGAAAUCGUAUCUAGAGUGUAAAGGCAUAAGGAAGCUUGACUGUGAGACCUACAAGUCGAGCAGGGACGAAAGUCGGUCUUAGUGAUCUGACGGUGCUGAGUGGAAAGGCCGUCACUCAACGGAUAAAAGUUACUCUAAGGAUAACAGGCUGAUCUCCCCCAAGAGUUCACAUCGACGGGGAGGUUUGGCACCUCGAUGUCGGCUCAUCGCAUCCUGGGGCGGUAGUAUGUCCCAAGGGUUGGGCUGUUCGCCCAUGAAAGCGGUACGCGAGCUGGGUUCAGAACGUCGUGAGACAGUUCGGUCCAUAUCCGGUGUAGGCGUUAGAAUAUUGAGAGGAGCCUUCUUUAGUACGAGAGGACCGAGAAGGACAUACCUCUGGUGUACCAGUUAUCGUGCCAACGGUAAACGCUGGGUAGCUAUGUAUGGAGAGGAUAACCGCUGAAAGCAUCUAAGUGGGAAGCCCACCUCAAGAUGAGUAUUCUCA